CGGCCGCCACCCCCAACCCUCUCCAUCCCUAUCUGAUCUCGAUCAGCCCUGCUCUCCACCGCCCUCCUCGGCCACGCCGGAGAUAAAGGCGUCGCCGCCCAGCAACCACGGCUGGCUUGCUCGCCGGCGAGCACGACGCUCCAUCAAGCUGGCCGGACUAGUAAUUGCUGUUAGAUCCUUCGAGAGCAAUGGGAGCAGGCAAUGAUGGUCAUGGGUACCCACCCGGUGGCUAGGGGGGAUACCCUCCUACAGGGUACCCGCCGCAGCAGGGAGGUUACCCUCCACAGCAAGGAUACCCGCCUGCACCUAGAGCUUACCCAUCUGCACUAGUAAUUCACCAAUGAUUCUUAAGUUCUACCUGUGAGCACCAAAUGUUUGGGAACUCUUUUGUAAUUUGGUUAAUCAACAUUUGUAUUAUACCACUUCCUGGUUGCCCUAUCAAAUAUUAUACCAUUGCACUAUUUAGUUACUUUUCAAAGUUGUGAUAAAUAUAGUUCUUUUUUACUUUCAAGAUAGCAUCAAAUUCAUGUCUUCCAUUUUUCUCAUCUACGCUGCGUGUCUAUAUAUAGCAGCACAGUUUUAGUUGCUCUGUAGGUUAUCAGUAGAACUCAACUAGCCAAUUAACAAGUGAACUCACUAUGCAUUUGCUGAAUCCAUAUUUGGAAAGUUCACUGACCCUGCUACUAUAACAAACUGCUACUGGUGGCUCUUUCCCAGGUAGUACAUGCAUCAUCAGUCCUAUAGAGCUGCUGCUCAUGUACUCAUUUUGUUCUACGAAAGUGGGAGGGCAGGGGCCUUGAUUUUCUUGCAUAAUUUGAGCAAAUUUGAGCAAAUGUGAUUUUUAUUCUCUGAAGUUGAUUCUCAUGUGUGGUCAUACCAGCAACACAUGCUUAAGACAUAGUGGCUGGACUGUAGAUGUUUGAAUCAGGAAAAAAUUGUGGGGAAAUGGUCCAUUUAUCCUUUAUUGCUUUGUGUUUUCUCUUCUAGAAUUAGUAUACUUUACUUAUAUGUUUAUAUGUUGAAUGGCAGAAGCUCAAGGUGAAGAAGGCCAUCGAGAAGGGCAACGCCGACGGUGCCCAGAUCUAUUCAGAGAACGCCAUCCGCAAGCGCACUGAGCACAUGAACUACCUCUGCCUCGCCUCCCGCCUCGCCCCAUAUGCCCAUGAGUGAUAUAUACUACUUGCCUGCUGCUGUAUCAUAUUGCUUAAUUUUUUACAUCAGAUUUAUGUACGGUAAAUGUCGUCUCAUCAACUAUGAAGAGAAUUGGUGGUGGUUAGGGUGUUCUGGUGCUUACAUAAUAUUCUUUCAGGCCUUUUGAGAUAGAGUUCUUUAGCUGACAAGUUUAGCAAAUGCUGCAGUGCUUAUGGUUUAGUUUUACACCUGCGUAAAAAUGAAUGGUUGCUACUGUUUCUAGUUUUAGGUUUGGAUGAGAUGCAUGUUUGCAUGCUCGUGCUUCUGUCUUUACAAUCUAUACUACUGCUAUUGUCAUAUCCUGGUUGUUUUGUUGCUAUCAAUAUUUGUCCCAUGUUUUGUUUCCUUGCAUGUUUACUACUACAAUCUAUACUACUGCUAUUGUCAUAUCUACUACUUGUGGUAUCUAUAUCUGCUAUUGUCAUAUCUCUGUUCAAAUGUAUAGUCAAACAUCUUUGUACUACUGUUGUUGUUGUAUGGAAAACACCAGAGGCAAAUCAUAUUUGUGAUGCAGUUUAUGUAACUUGGCAUUUCUACAUGGCUUGUUUAUAUUGGCAAUUAUACACUAAUGACGAUGUUUACCUGCACUGCUUAAUUUUGUUUAUCUUGAUCUUGAUGGGAAAAACAACACAUGUUUCUUUUCUGUCUAAGACACAACAAACAUGUCUUUUUGAUUGUUGAGCUUAAUUAUAGGCUCUUGUGCAGCAGCAACCGUUGAUUUCGAUUUCAGCUGAUCAAUCAUCUGUCCUUCUGCAGCACAAGGGUUCCAUGGGGAUACAACAGCAGCAGGACGACCAUGACUACACCAUUGCUGCCAGUCUCGAAGGUGGUCGUAUGCAAGGCACCAAGGUGCAUGGUGCUCGCAAGCGAUGAACGGAGGCAGUUCGACAUCGGCUACGCAAACCACCAUUGUGAGCUCCUCCCUUUGCUAUGCUACAAUCAUGCUCUGUUUCAUGGGUUAGUUAAGAUUUUGAUGCUUUUCGAGCCGUGGUUGAGUCCUUGCAGACUGUUGUGCCGAUGAUCAAGUGCUGGUGCCUCAUCUGGCUAUUUUAUUUGCUGCCAGUAAUUAGUAGUAUUAGAGUGUCGCUGGUUUAUUAGGAUGUGGCUGAAACCAUUGGAUGGCCUUCCUGUACAUGUUAUCUAGCAUUAGUACUUGUCCCAUUUUU